AAAGAAUUAGUUAAAUUAACAUUAGUAUGUCAAGCUAAAAUUAUUAGUAUCAACCUAAUAUUCUUUG
rnacentral:tRNA from 1 species